rnacentral:misc_RNA from 1 species
GAAAUGCGAUAAGUAGUGUGAAUUGCAGAAUUCAGUGAAUCAUCGAAUCUUUGAACGCACAUUGCGCUUCCUGGCAUUCCGGGAAGCAUGCCCGUUUCAGAAUCAUUUAAAACAUCUCAAUGUCUCUUUCAUGGACAUUGGACGUUGGACAGUUUGAUCAAAGCUCUCUGGAUGUUUUUCUGGAGGGCUCAAUUGUCUGAAAAUGAUUGUGCGCACUCCAGCUCUUGCUGGAUAGCUCUUAAGGUGCAAUAAGAUGUCACGUCUAAUUGACUUUCACCUGGUGAGGUAUCCUGUGCGAGGCAGGAGUUUGUGUACUUCUCCAAUUAUACCAGGGUCUGUCCCUGUUAACUUGGUCUGAAAUCGGGCAAGAGAACCCGCUGAACUUAA